rnacentral:lncRNA from 1 species
GCUUUGACACACGAGUUCGUACUCGCUCCCCACAACUCUAAACCUAAAGUAGUUCGGAACACUGAAAAUAGCACUCAAUCCAACUGUUAGCUCGCCAUAGGUGCUUCGCCCCUCUGGAUUAAGCGGUGGGCGGCUGCUGCCUCUCCCACCUCGCAGCCUGGGAAUGAAGGAAUGACUGCGUUUCUUUGGCCUCAACGCAAUCAUGGCAACAGAAAACACCCACUCCUUCCACUUCGACCCGCACAGUCUGUCUAGGCAAUUAAUCAGCGCUCCCCACGGCGGUGCUCCUGCGGGGUGCCAGCUGUCUUGCCAAUCAACCCCUCCCACGGAGUGGAGCACAACCACACCCCCGGCAAGGCCUCGGCCAGCCGGGGAAGGUGCUCUGGCCUACACGAGCGGAAGCGGAGUCUCAGGAAGAGGCGCUGCCGAAUCCGCGCGGGGCAGCGAGAGCGCCCCGAGGGGCUUCCUCAGUGAAGCACAAGUGGGGUUCCAGGGCACAGGUGACAGGGCCGAAGAAACAAACCUAAAUUGGUGA